UUUGGUUAAGUUAGAAAGGGCGCACGGUGGAUGCCUUGACACUAGGAGUCGAUGAAGGACGGGACUAACGCCGAUAUGCUUCGGGGAGCUGUAAGUAAGCUUUGAUCCGAAGAUUUCCGAAUGGGGAAACCCACCAUACGUAAUGGUAUGGUAUCCUUAUCUGAAUACAUAGGGUAAGGAAGACAGACCCAGGGAACUGAAACAUCUAAGUACCUGGAGGAAGAGAAAGCAAAUGCGAUUUCCUGAGUAGCGGCGAGCGAAACGGAACAUAGCCCAAACCAAGAGGCUUGCCUCUUGGGGUUGUAGGACAUUCUAUACGGAGUUACAAAGGAACGAGGUAGACGAAGCGACCUGGAAAGGUCCGUCGUAGAGGGUAACAACCCCGUAGUCGAAACUUCGUUCUCUCUUGAAUGUAUCCUGAGUACGGCGGAACACGUGAAAUUCCGUCGGAAUCUGGGAGGACCAUCUCCCAAGGCUAAAUACUCCCUAGUGAUCGAUAGUGAACCAGUACCGUGAGGGAAAGGUGAAAAGCACCCCGGAAGGGGAGUGAAAGAGAUCCUGAAACCGUGUGCCUACAAAUAGUCAGAGCCCGUUAACGGGUGAUGGCGUGCCUUUUGUAGAAUGAACCGGCGAGUUACGAUCCCGUGCGAGGUUAAGCUGAAGAGGCGGAGCCGCAGCGAAAGCGAGUCUGAAUAGGGCGUUUAGUACGUGGUCGUAGACCCGAAACCAGGUGAUCUACCCAUGUCCAGGGUGAAGUUCAGGUAACACUGAAUGGAGGCCCGAACCCACGCACGUUGAAAAGUGCGGGGAUGAGGUGUGGGUAGCGGAGAAAUUCCAAUCGAACCUGGAGAUAGCUGGUUCUCCCCGAAAUAGCUUUAGGGCUAGCCUUAAGUGUAAGAGUCUUGGAGGUAGAGCACUGAUUGGACUAGGGGUCCUCAUCGGAUUACCGAAUUCAGUCAAACUCCGAAUGCCAAUGACUUAUCCUUAGGAGUCAGACUGCGAGUGAUAAGAUCCGUAGUCAAAAGGGAAACAGCCCAGACCGCCAGCUAAGGUCCCAAAGUGUGUAUUAAGUGGAAAAGGAUGUGGAGUUGCUUAGACAACUAGGAUGUUGGCUUAGAAGCAGCCACCAUUUAAAGAGUGCGUAAUAGCUCACUAGUCGAGUGACUCUGCGCCGAAAAUGUACCGGGGCUAAAUACACCACCGAAGCUGCGGAUUGAUACCGAAUGGUAUCAGUGGUAGGGGAGCGUUCUAAGGACAGUGAAGUCAGACCGGAAGGACUGGUGGAGUGCUUAGAAGUGAGAAUGCCGGUAUGAGUAGCGAAAGACGGGUGAGAAUCCCGUCCACCGAAUGCCUAAGGUUUCCUGAGGAAGGCUCGUCCGCUCAGGGUUAGUCAGGACCUAAGCCGAGGCCGACAGGCGUAGGCGAUGGACAACAGGUUGAUAUUCCUGUACCACCUCUUUAUCGUUUGAGCAAUGGAGGGACGCAGAAGGAUAGAAGAAGCGUGCGAUUGGUUGUGCACGUCCAAGCAGUUAGGCUGAUAAGUAGGCAAAUCCGCUUAUCGUAAAGGCUGAGCUGUGAUGGGGAAGCUCCUUAUGGAGCGAAGUCUUUGAUUCCCCGCUGCCAAGAAAAGCUUCUAGCGAGAUAAAAGGUGCCUGUACCGCAAACCGACACAGGUAGGCGAGGAGAGAAUCCUAAGGUGUGCGAGAGAACUCUGGUUAAGGAACUCGGCAAAAUGACCCCGUAACUUCGGGAGAAGGGGUGCUUUCUUAACGGAAAGCCGCAGUGAAUAGGCCCAAGCGACUGUUUAGCAAAAACACAGCUCUCUGCGAAGCCGUAAGGCGAAGUAUAGGGGGUGACACCUGCCCGGUGCUGGAAGGUUAAGGAGAGGGGUUAGCGUAAGCGAAGCUCUGAACUGAAGCCCCAGUAAACGGCGGCCGUAACUAUAACGGUCCUAAGGUAGCGAAAUUCCUUGUCGGGUAAGUUCCGACCCGCACGAAAGGUGUAACGAUUUGGGCACUGUCUCAACCAGAGACUCGGUGAAAUUAUAGUACCUGUGAAGAUGCAGGUUACCCGCGACAGGACGGAAAGACCCCGUGGAGCUUUACUGUAGCCUGAUAUUGAAUUUUGGUACAGUUUGUACAGGAUAGGCGGGAGCCAUUGAAACCGGAGCGCUAGCUUCGGUGGAGGCGCUGGUGGGAUACCGCCCUGACUGUAUUGAAAUUCUAACCUACGGGUCUUAUCGACCCGGGAGACAGUGUCAGGUGGGCAGUUUGACUGGGGCGGUCGCCUCCUAAAGUGUAACGGAGGCGCCCAAAGGUUCCCUCAGAAUGGUUGGAAAUCAUUCGUAGAGUGCAAAGGCAUAAGGGAGCUUGACUGCGAGACCUACAAGUCGAGCAGGGACGAAAGUCGGGCUUAGUGAUCCGGUGGUUCCGCAUGGAAGGGCCAUCGCUCAACGGAUAAAAGCUACCCCGGGGAUAACAGGCUUAUCUCCCCCAAGAGUCCACAUCGACGGGGAGGUUUGGCACCUCGAUGUCGGCUCAUCGCAUCCUGGGGCUGUAGUCGGUCCCAAGGGUUGGGCUGUUCGCCCAUUAAAGCGGUACGCGAGCUGGGUUCAGAACGUCGUGAGACAGUUCGGUCCCUAUCCGUCGUGGGCGUAGGAAAUUUGAGAGGAGCUGUCCUUAGUACGAGAGGACCGGGAUGGACGCACCGCUGGUGUACCAGUUGUUCUGCCAAGGGCAUAGCUGGGUAGCUAUGUGCGGAAGGGAUAAGUGCUGAAAGCAUCUAAGCAUGAAGCCCCCCUCAAGAUGAGAUUUCCCAUAGCGUAAGCUAGUAAGAUCCCUGAAAGAUGAUCAGGUUGAUAGGUUCGAGGUGGAAGCAUGGUGACAUGUGGAGCUGACGAAUACUAAUAGAUCGAGGACUUAACCAUAUAA
rnacentral:rRNA from 2 species